GACGAACGCUGGCGGCGUGCUUAACACAUGCAAGUCGAACGGAAAGGCCCUGCUUUUGUGGGGUGCUCGAGUGGCGAACGGGUGAGUAACACGUGAGUAACCUGCCCUUGACUUUGGGAUAACUUCAGGAAACUGGGGCUAAUACCGGAUAGGAGCUCCUGCUGCAUGGUGGGGGUUGGAAAGUUUCGGCGGUAGGGGAUGGACUCGCGGCUUAUGAGCUUGUUGGUGGGGUAGUGGCUUACCAAGUCUUUGACGGGUAGCCGGCCUGAGAGGGUGACCGGCCACAUGGGGACUGAGAGACGGCGCAGAGUCCUACGGGAGGCAGCAGUGGGGAAUAUGGCACAAUGGGAGGAAGCCUGAUGCAGCAACGCCGCGUGCGGGAUGACGGCCUUCGGGUUGUAAACCGCUUUCGCCUGUGACGAAGCGUGAGUGACGGUAAUGGGUAAAGAAGCACCGGCUAACUACGUG
rnacentral:rRNA from 1 species